rfam:Triticum aestivum genome assembly, contig: Triticum_aestivum_CS42_TGACv1_scaffold_577765_7BL
AACUUAGUUGGUAAAGCACAAAGCUCUUAACCUUGUGGACGUGGGUUCAAGCCCCAU